rnacentral:lncRNA from 1 species
AGUAGCGGAGCUCGAGCAUCCUUUAGUCAUCUAUCUGGGGAGACCUGGAACUCAGGCUUCGGCUUCCCGGCAGGUUUGUCUUUAAUUUCCAAGGUUGCAGUUCUCUUGACACAAUCCACAGCAUCCUUCUCUCCAACCGGGCUGUGGAUGAACCUGGGACUGGACUGAAUCCAGCAGCUGGGGCAGCCCGGGCCAUGGUGCGUCUGAGCCCCGAGCUCUGGUAAGGCAGUAGUGGCGGCGUUGUUCGAGCUAGGCGGGUGCCACUCCCGGGAGCUUCCUCCCAGCUGUCACAAUGUUCAGUUGGCUGGGUAACGAUGAUCGCCGCAAGAAGGACCCUGAGGUCUUCCAGACGGUGAGCGAUGGACUCAAAAAACUCUACAAGACCAAGCUGCUGCCUCUGGAAGAGUAUUACCGCUUCCACGAGUUCCACUCGCCCGCCCUGGAAGAUGCUGAUUUCGACAACAAGCCCAUGGUCCUGUUGGUGGGCCAGUACUCUACCGGCAAGACCACCUUCAUCAGGUGAGCCUCAUCUGGGUGCUGAGCCUUCCGGGUGACGUGGAAAGUCUUCCAUUAAGGGCUCUGAAGAAAUCCCUGUGGGAGGCCUCAAAAGUUGAUCCUACUACCGAGUCCCCCAUUGAUUCCUAUAUGAUGUCCCUCCUCAGUUCUUAGCCCUGGUCAUUUUAUUAAGAGUCAUCCCUGUUGUCUGAUCUGGGCACUGAAACUGAGGCACAGAAGGAACCAGACUCCUAAUGAAGGUGGGGAUACCGUAACCCUCCUUUUGACUAGAAUCUCUUAUCUCGUGAAGGGCUUGGGAUUAUCCCGGGGAGCCUUACCUUUGCAGCCGAGUUGUUCUCAUGGUCGCGGGCCUGGGGAUGGGGGUGAACUGGAGACCCUGGGGUCAUUUAUUCUUUUACCGUUUUUCCUUCUCUCUGACAGUGCUUUUAGGGCUGUCUCUUAGAGAAGCAGAAUACUUUUAAUAAGUUUCUUCUUUGAACUUAAUAGUUCAAUAAUAAUAAUAAUAAUAAUAAUAAUAAUAAUAAUAAUAAUAAUAAUAAAGCAGCUUACAGAAGUAGAGGAGAUACUAAGAUGCCUCAUCUGGCCCUUGACUUUGCAGGUGAGAUAGCAGAGGUGAUGGGAGGAUACGUGAUGGUUUAGAGCUGCACAAGAUGGAAGCAGCCCUCGGUGCCUGUGAAAAAUGUUAGCUACGUGCCUGUAACUUUAACAGGGAGUCUUCCAUUCCGUUGAAUGAUAGAUUUUGGGGGCUGCAAGCAUUCAGAGAGAAAGUCAGAAAAAUCCAAUAGCUCUGAAGAACAGGCCUCUCUCAAUCUUUACUGCAUACAGACUGCAAAGCCAGGCUGCCCUUUUCAAAGGUUGAGGGGUACACAUAUUCCAAAGGUUGGAGGCUGCUUAUGGCCCUUUGGGCUAAGAGGUCACACUCUUACAGGUGCCGUAUCCUCCCAGAGUCAAGGGCACCCAUCUGCAGAGGGCUUUAAAGCAGCAGUCCUCAUAUUUCUGGAUUGGCAUCAUGAUCUACAGAGCCACGUGCUUUGCUUGUCAAGGAGAGCAGCAGAGUUGACAACCUGGUGACUCAUUUUUCAGUUUCUCGUGUCUCCCGCGCUAAGCUUCUGGGAGCCGUGUGUGUACCAUGCUAACCUGUCCUGUCUGAGCAGAGCACCAAAUCAUUUGUCUUUGUGGAGUGGACAGUCUUGGGCUGUCAACUUGACCUGCAGCUUUGCAAGGUCAAAUGAUUUCUGAAGUGGGGACCUGGGGGUUGUGGCUUAUUAACUCUAAUAUAUUUUAAACAUGAGACAUAAAUCCAUUGUGGGUUUUUUUUUCACCUUGUUUUUAAAAAUCUAAAUCACUUUUCUUUUAAAAAAAAAAAAAAGAAAGCUGUAGCACUCUCUUUAGAAAACUCCACGGAUACCCUAUGUUUACCUGUAGUGUUGAAUGGAUUUAACUGGGAACACAGAGGGAGAAUCUUGGAUUCAAAGUCAACCCUUAAUUUUAUUAAACACCAAUUGGUGCCAAAUGUGCUUCAGAGAUACCUGGGUUGUGCACACAAGUUCCUUUGUAUCGCUGUUCUCCACCCUUUUGGGUUUAUGCCUCAUGGGAAGUGUGGGCAAUCUGCAAACUGUUCUUGGCUUCGCACCGCCUUCCCUGGCCCUCUGAUCAUCCUUGGUCAUGACCCUGAGGACAUUAAGCUACUGGACCAUCUCCUUCCCGCAGUAAAGGCACUUUGGUAGCUUCUGGACCUGAGCAUGUCCAGGGACUAAGCUCUGGGGAGUUCCCAGCAGCCAUCUUGCAAAAUGGGAGGGAAGAAAAGCAAAUGUGUUUUAAGAGCAGGGUCCCCCGAACACUAGAAAGUUUAAGUGCCUCUGUGUGGGAUACCCUCUGGAUUUUGCCUAAGUCACCACAGGCUGUUACUAGAUCCAAGAAAGUGGAAGAGUGAGAUGCCCCACAUUAUCCCUUAUCUGAGGGAGGCAGAUCCCUCUUCCUUCUUAUCCUCCUAGUUCAAGGGGCCCCCUUCCUCCUCAUAACAAUAACUGAAUUUAGCUCGUGCACCCAAAGCCGUUUCCCCUCUAGAGAGAGGGCAAGAGUGGAGCGAGUCAACCGUCAGGGGUUUUCCCCAACCAAACUGCACAUUUUUCUCUCUUCUCACUAAAUCCAACAGUUUCAAUUAUUAUUAGAAAGCGAAGAAUAGAAUAAACUUG